UACCAGCACCCCGAGUGGUCUGGACGAUUAUUGGGCCUAAAGCAUCCGUAGCCGGUUUUACAAGUCCUCCGUUAAAUCCAGCUGCUUAACAGAUGGGCUGCGGAGGAUACUAUAAGACUAGGAGGCAGGAGAGGCAAGCGGUACUCAGUGGGUAGGGGUAAAAUCCGUUGAUCCAUUGAAGACCACCAGUGGCGAAGGCGGCUUGCCAGAAUGCGCUCGACGGUGAGGGAUGAAAGCUGGGGGAGCAAACCGG
rnacentral:rRNA from 1 species